GAUGAACGCUAGCGGCAGGCCUAAUACAUGCAAGUCGAGGGGUAACAGGUGUAGCAAUACAUGCUGACGACCGGCGCACGGGUGCGUAACACGUAUACAAUCUACCUUUAACUGGGGGAUAGCCCGGAGAAAUCCGGAUUAAUACCCCAUAACAGCGAAGAAGGCAUCUUCUUCUCUUGAAAGUUCCGACGGUUAUAGAUGAGUAUGCGCCUGAUUAGUUUGUUGGUGAGGUAACGGCUCACCAAGACUACGAUCAGUAGGGGAUCUGAGAGGAUUAACCCCCACACGGAUACUGAGACACGGAUCCGACUCCUACGGGAGGCAGCAGUAAGGAAUAUUGGACAAUGGCCGCAAGGCUGAUCCAGCCAUGCCGCGUGCAGGAAGACGGCCCUAUGGGUUGUAAACUGCUUUUACACCGGAGAAACCCCUUAUGUAUAAGGGGCUGAUAGUAUGGUGAGAAUAAGCAUCGGCUAACUUCGUGCCAGCAGC
rnacentral:rRNA from 1 species